CACUAUCGUUAACUGAAUACAUAGGUUAACGAGGCGAACCGGGGGAACUGAAACAUCUAAGUACCCCGAGGAAAAGAAAUCAACCGAGAUUCCCCCAGUAGCGGCGAGCGAACGGGGAGCAGCCCAGAGUCUGAAUCAGCUUGUGUGUUAGUGGAACGGUCUGGAAAGUCCGACGGUACAGGGUGAUAGUCCCGUACACCAAAAUGCACAGGCUGUGAACUCGAAGAGUAGGGCGGGACACGUGGUAUCCUGUCUGAAUAUGGGGGGACCAUCCUCCAAGGCUAAAUACUCCUGACUGACCGAUAGUGAACCAGUACCGUGAGGGAAAGGCGAAAAGAACCCCGGCGAGGGGAGUGAAAAAGAACCUGAAACCGUGUACGUACAAGCAGUGGGAGCACCUUCGGGUGUGACUGCGUACCUUUUGUAUAAUGGGUCAGCGACUUAUAUUCUGUAGCAAGGUUAACCGUAUAGGGGAGCCGCAGGGAAACCGAGUCUUAACUGGGCGUUAAGUUGCAGGGUAUAGACCCGAAACCCGGUGAUCUAGCCAUGGGCAGGUUGAAGGUUGGGUAACACUAACUGGAGGACCGAACCGACUAAUGUUGAAAAAUUAGCGGAUGACUUGUGGCUGGGGGUGAAAGGCCAAUCAAACCGGGAGAUAGCUGGUUCUCCCCGAAAGCUAUUUAGGUAGCGCCUCGUGAAUUCAUCUUCGGGGGUAGAGCACUGUUUCGGCUAGGGGGUCAUCCCGACUUACCAACCCGAUGCAAACUACGAAUACCGAAGAAUGUUAUCACGGGAGACACACGGCGGGUGCUAACGUCCGUCGUGAAGAGGGAAACAACCCAGACCGCCAGCUAAGGUCCCAAAGUCAUGGUUAAGUGGGAAACGAUGUGGGAAGGCACAGACAGCCAGGAUGUUGGCUUAGAAGCAGCCAUCAUUUAAAGAAAGCGUAAUAGCUCACUGGUCGAGUCGGCCUGCGCGGAAGAUGUAACGGGGCUAAACCAUGCACCGAAGCUGCGGCAGCGACACUAUGUGUUGUUGGGUAGGGGAGCGUUCUGUAAGCCUGCGAAGGUGNNNNNNNNNNNNNNNNNNNNNNNNNNNNNNNUGCUGGAGGUAUCAGAAGUGCGAAUGCUGACAUAAGUAACGAUAAAGCGGGUGAAAAGCCCGCUCGCCGGAAGACCAAGGGUUCCUGUCCAACGUUAAUCGGGGCAGGGUGAGUCGACCCCUAAGGCGAGGCCGAAAGGCGUAGUCGAUGGGAAACAGGUUAAUAUUCCUGUACUUGGUGUUACUGCGAAGGGGGGACGGAGAAGGCUAUGUUAGCCGGGCGACGGUUGUCCCGGUUUAAGCAUGUAGGCUGGUUGUCCAGGCAAAUCCGGAUAAUCAAGGCUGAGGUGUGAUGACGAGGCACUACGGUGCUGAAGUAACAAAUGCCCUGCUUCCAGGAAAAGCCUCUAAGCAUCAGGUAACAUCAAAUCGUACCCCAAACCGACACAGGUGGUCAGGUAGAGAAUACCAAGGCGCUUGAGAGAACUCGGGUGAAGGAACUAGGCAAAAUGGUGCCGUAACUUCGGGAGAAGGCACGCUGGUGUGUAGGUGAAGCCCCUGCGGGUGGAGCUGAGACCAGUCGAAGAUACCAGCUGGCUGCAACUGUUUAUUAAAAACACAGCACUGUGCAAACACGAAAGUGGACGUAUACGGUGUGACGCCUGCCCGGUGCCGGAAGGUUAAUUGAUGGGGUUAUCCGUAAGGAGAAGCUCUUGAUCGAAGCCCCGGUAAACGGCGGCCGUAACUAUAACGGUCCUAAGGUAGCGAAAUUCCUUGUCGGGUAAGUUCCGACCUGCACGAAUGGCGUAAUGAUGGCCAGGCUGUCUCCACCCGAGACUCAGUGAAAUUGAACUCGCUGUGAAGAUGCAGUGUACCCGCGGCAAGACGGAAAGACCCCGUGAACCUUUACUAUAGCUUGACACUGAACAUUGAGCCUUGAUGUGUAGGAUAGGUGGGAGGCUUUGAAGCGUGGACGCCAGUCUGCGUGGAGCCAACCUUGAAAUACCACCCUUUAAUGUUUGAUGUUCUAACGUUGGCCCCUUACCGGGGUUGCGGACAGUGUCUGGUGGGUAGUUUGACUGGGGCGGUCUCCUCCCAAAGCGUAACGGAGGAGCACGAAGGUUAGCUAAUCCUGGUCGGACAUCAGGAGGUUAGUGCAAUGGCAUAAGCUAGCUUGACUGCGAGCGUGACGGCGCGAGCAGGUGCGAAAGCAGGUCAUAGUGAUCCGGUGGUUCUGAAUGGAAGGGCCAUCGCUCAACGGAUAAAAGGUACUCCGGGGAUAACAGGCUGAUACCGCCCAAGAGUUCAUAUCGACGGCGGUGUUUGGCACCUCGAUGUCGGCUCAUCACAUCCUGGGGCUGAAGUAGGUCCCAAGGGUAUGGCUGUUCGCCAUUUAAAGUGGUACGCGAGCUGGGUUUAGAACGUCGUGAGACAGUUCGGUCCCUAUCUGCCGUGGGCGCUGGAGAAUUGAGGGGGGCUGCUCCUAGUACGAGAGGACCGGAGUGGACGCAUCACUGGUGUUCGGGUUGUCAUGCCAAUGGCACUGCCCGGUAGCUAAAUGCGGAAGAGAUAAGUGCUGAAAGCAUCUAAGCACGAAACUUGCCCCGAGAUGAGUUCUCCCUGAGACUUUAAGUCUCCUGAAGGAACGUU
rnacentral:rRNA from 1 species